rnacentral:tRNA from 1 species
GCUCGGCUACCUCAGUCGGUAGAGCAUGAGACUCUUAAUCUCAGGGUCGUGGGUUCGAGGCCCACGCUGGGCG